rnacentral:rRNA from 1 species
UUGGAGGGCAAGUCUGGUGCCAGCAGCCGCGGUAAUUCCAGCUCCAAUAGCGUAUAUUAAAGUUGUUGCAGCUAAAAAGCUCGUAGUUGAAUUUCGGGACUAAUAUGUCGGUCGUACUUUGUACGUACUAGCAUUAUUGGUUUCUCCCUUCUGACGAACCACGAUGUCAUUAAUUUGGUGUCGUGGGAAAUCAGGACUGUUACUUUGAAAAAAUUAGAGUGUUUAAAGCAAGCUCGCGCUUGAAUACAUUAGCAUGGAAUAAUGAAAUAGGACGUUUGAUUCUAUUUUGUUGGUUUCUAGGAUCGACGUAAUGAUUAAUAGGGAUAGUUGGGGGCAUUAGUAUUCAAUUGUCAGAGGUGAAAUUCUUGGAUUUAUUGAAGACUAACUACUGCGAAAGCAUUUGCCAAGGAUGUUUUCAUUAAUCAAGAACGAAAGUUAGGGGAUCGAAGACGAUCAGAUACCGUCGUAGUCUUAACCAUAAACUAUGCCGACUAGGGAUCGGAUGAUGUUAAUUUUUUAAUGACUCAUUCGGCGCCUUACGGGAAAC